AAUUCAGUGUUUUUCUUUUAUUCUACAGUUAUUGCAGAUGGAUUUUUUUAACUUGAUUUGUUAAACAAGUUUCAUACACACAGCUUUAGGAACGCAGUGACACUUCCCUGCCUCCCCCCAUGCUCCUUAUCUAUAAAAAAGCACAUAUUUAAUAUUUUUAACAGCAGAAGAAAAUUAAUUAACUCUUAAAACAACUCUUUGCUAUAAGCUUCAUGCACCUGCUUUGGAGGAUAUACAAGAAUGUCGUAAGGUCUCACCCCCAAGUCAGGAUCUCAAGCUCCAUGGUAGCCAACAAAUCAAUGAGCAGCAGCGAGAGCAAGCUGCAUGCAGACUUUGCCAGGGACCGUUGUUAGCACUUUAAAUGCAGUCCCUGCCCACGUUCACGUCAGCGCACGGAAAUGUCUAGUCCACAGUCGUGCAGAGGGAGUUUGCGAGGGUUUGGCAAUUUGCUGAAGUUCCAGCCCCUAAUAAACGGACAGGAGCUGAAUCUGAGCUUGACUGACUUUCAAGUCCAGGCUCUUCACCGUGUUGCUCCACCUUCUUCCUGAAGUGACAGUGAAGAUAUUUACACACACACACACAAUUUGCUCUGUACCCCAGCGUGUCCGCCCAUACACAGGGAAGAUCAAGACAUAUCCCGUGGAGACCAGUCAGCACACAAAGCCACCAGUGGCUUGCAGAAGCUUCAGCUCCCCAGAGCUGCAUCCAGUCCAGCACUCCCACUCACACGAGCUCACCCGUCUAAGCAGCUUCCACUUGAAGCCCCGAGCUGACCUGGGCAGAACAGUGCUGCCCCAUCCGGAAAACUCACAGAACACAACAUGCUGUCGGGAAUUAGCUCGGGUAACUGCCUAGGACUUUCAAUCACAUCUGUUUUGGAGAACUUACCCAAUGCCACUUCUCUGCCUGGCCACUAUUCUGGUGAGUUCUAGAAUAUACUGACGCAGAGUGGCAGUGUCAGGGGUACAAUCCCUGAAACUGUAAAGAUGUAAGACCAGCAUCAUACUUUCAUUCCUAGAAUGAGAAAGGGGCUGGAUACACUUGGAACAGAUGGAUGGCAGAGCCAAGAAUAACUAAGAAAGUUACAUAAAGCACAAAAAUCAUUCCCCAAGAAGUUUCUUAGAGGCAUCAGAGUUGAUGAAGCAGUGAGAAUAGGAAAGAGGAGAUACCAGCUUGGGAAGAGCUGUGGAAAGGCUGGGAGUGAGGCUGUGUACAGAGCUGCUACGGCAGCUGGCUCUCGUGUUCUCUGGGGGCUCUCUGGGGACAUUGCUGAUUCUGUACACGAAGCAAGACAAGGGAAAUGUGGGUUGUGCCUGGGGAAGCUGUCAAUCACAGAGGGCUGGAGAGACAACGCAGGCCAUUUACAGGGUCGAGAUCCCAGAGACAGGAGGAGCCCAGAAGAUGGCCUGACGCACAGCAGGUCUGUCAAAUCCUGCUCUUGAUUCGGGAGGAGCUAGACGACUAAGUGAAGUCUCACAAGGGCACCAUGGAGGUCGGGCACCCCACUGCGCUGGGGAGACGGCUGCAGUUCACAUGCACUGCAAAGCACGACCCAGGAGAAAGCCGGGGAACAGCCCUCACAGUGCACCCCACGACGGAUCUGGGGGUCGCCUCUACUCUGUGCACCUAGCGGGAAGAGUGCAACCUUUCUGGGAACACAGACUAUCAUCCAGAUCCACUACCCACUGCUACACAGCACACGGCUCAGCCAUUCGGGAAUCACUGGGGGUGCCAACAAACAGUUCCGGCCACUGACAGUCAAGAGACAAAGGCAUCGACUCAAACCAGGUAACACGCUCUGGGGGGACAGACAGGUGCUUCGUUCACUGCUGCCUUCCUGGGACCCAGAGCCCUGCCUGCCUCAGGUGAGUGAUUAGCAAACAUUGCUUCAUUUAUGAAUUAGUGAAGUGGCCCAGAUUCGUCAUGUCUGCUUGCACAUGGCAGGGAAUGUGCUCCACGUCUUACUGUGCGAAACACAGGAAACAGCAGUAAAAUGGAACAGGAAUAGGAAGGUGUCCCCACAGGGACGGACACCAAACACAUCUUUAAAUUGCUCUGUGUUGACUCCAUUACACUUGCAGCUCCUCGAAUGCUGCACAGCCAUCCUUUCUCCACCUAGAACGUUCUAUCAGCAAAGAAAGGAAUUCUCUAUCCCAGUGACCGGGAGCACGGGGCCAGUUCCAGAAGCUGUAACAGUGAAGAUGAGGUAGCACAGGCGAUUGAUGAAAUUAUAAACAUGAACAGCGACAUAGAGAAAGACAAGACGCUGUUCUUGUCAUUGCUACUUUGGACAAAGAUGAGGAAGACCUACAAAUCUGCAGACUUGCUAUGAAAACCCUCAAGUACUGGGUUACUGAACUGCAUUUCUGUGAACAUUAAGGGCACUUCCUGCAAAGGAUCAGGUAUGUACAUACUUACCUAGCAAUGUGAGCCGGUCUGAACGUCACGCCAGACUCUAAACAUCUGCAGCUGUGCAGCUUCAUACACCCCACGGCCUUGGGAAAUGAUUCACAGUUAUAUCAUACUUGCCAGGAGCUAAAACCUGGCAAAUUAGGGGUUUAGUUUUGCUUUCUGCCUUAGCUGGUUAUUUCCACUGCACAUAGAUCUGGAAAACUUUGCUUUUCUAUCAGCCUACCAGGUGAGCAUCCGUCAUUGACACAGUAUUUCAAGAUCCUGAAGGAAUUUCUUUCUGGGCUCUCACUUCAGUUUUUAUUUUUUCAUGAGAUUCCAAGCUUAAACUGUCAAGUCCAUAACGGAUGUGUGGAAAUUUCAAUAUACAAGAUGGGAGAAAGGCUAAUAAUCAUGCCCACAGGUAAGAUGAGCCUUCAAGGCUGAAACCAGAGAAAUCCACGCGCUGCCUGACUGCACAGACCCUGACAUGAGCUCCGCAGUCCACAAGACUUGUCACUUGAGAAGACCUGUGUAAGGCUGUAGAUGGAGCUGUCACAGACCACACCCACGCGUUCUGUGAAUACAACCAUCACACCUCAGAUCCUCCUUGCCUUCUUUGCCUGGCUUCAGCCCACUCGGGGACCUGCAGUCUUUCACCCAGAGCUGGCAGAGGAGAACGCUGAACCUCUAAGGAGAUGGAACCCAUGCAACUCACUCCAGCAACCGCCCUCCCUUUCAUGACCCGUAACAUCUUUGGCACCCAACGUGGGGCUCGGUAGAAGACUUUGGCAAGGUCUGUAUUCCUUCCCUCAAGUGGGACAGGAUCUGUGGGAAUGACUGGAUCAUCUGGCAUCUCACAGCUCUCCAAGAACACGGAGUUCGCUCUGGCCAUGGCUUAGCCACGACUGAAACUCGGAAGAAUUGUACAAGGAGGAGAGGGCAACUAGGAAGGGCAGUAGCCUGAGAGCCUGGAGACCCCCUGAGCUCGCUUUGGCUUUCUGGUGGCCGGACUGUGACCCGAGGACCUUGCCUCUCUCUUGGAGGGACGCCUGGUCAUGUCACCUACUGCUACGUGAGCGGGGCUCAGCCUUGACCUAGGCUAAUGUUGGCCCUCCAGGUCAACUCGGACAGCUAGAUAGUGGGCAAUCAUGGGCAACAGGAGAUUUCAAGCACUCGGUGAAAACAACACACCUGUCUAAUCCCACGGAAUAUUUCAUGGUGUCUCUUUUUGCUUUCUCCCUUCUCUGUAGUUUAUAGGAAUGUAUGAUUCUCUGCCUCUUUGUUUCAUGAUGUAUUGCACUGUCCUAAGUAAUGGGCUCACAUGCUGAUAAUCAAAGCUUUUUCUGUGCUAUUAUAACUGACCAAGCUAAUAAGAGUUUUAACGUGUCUUGAAGGCUUUGGUUUUUCUGUUGCCUUAUUGAGUCUUGAUUGGAAGAAAUGAGACUUAAAGUAGUUUAAGUCAUCUGGGUAUAGUUUCUGAAUAAAACUGGGGUAAAGGUAAAUGAAAAUAAGGAUGUGUGUGCUCCAGGAUCUUAAAUUCUAUAAGGGAGAUUGUGCGGGUUCAUUAACAUUUUCAUAAAUUGUCUGUAUGAAAAAUAAUUCAAAACUGCUUGAAAUUAAGGAAUGUAAAUCAAGGAAAUCAGCAGGUGGAAAAAAAGAACUAUAAAAAUGUGUUCUUGGUAAAGAAGGUUAAAAAGGGAAGAGAUUUUUAAAUAGAGGAAGGACGUGGUUUGUAGAACUGCUUUAUCCUAAUGGCUAGUUUACUCUAAACUGCAUUCUACCACAGCAGCCCUCCCACACCCUAAGUGCCCCUAGGACUAUGGCCUCCUGUCCCCAGGAAGUAGCCAGAGAGACAUGGAUGCCCCAAGUCCCUGCCGUAGUAGAGUGUGGAUUAAGGAAGGGGGAAUUUGAGACCAGCCAGUGGGGCUGUUGGCCUGUGGGCCCCAUCAGACAUAGGUAUAACGUCCUUCACAAGCAGGCUGCCAGCUGUGGCUGGAAAGCCCAUCUCCGGACCGACUGGCAACUCCCCCACUAACGGCGUCUUGUGCUGCAUGUGUGACCUUGCAGCUUUAAAUCACACCUUCUGGGUGGGUGCAAUCUUUCACCCAGAGCUGGCAGGGGAAGGGGCCGGGCCCCUGGCAGAGUCAGACUGGCUCCAGGAGACCCGGGCUAUCUUGUGUGACCUAGCGGCUUUAGAUCACAUCUCCAGGGUGGCUGGAUUCUUUGACCCAGAGCUAGCGGAGGAGGGGGUCUGAGCCCCUAAGAAGACAGACAGUCUCCAGGAGACCCCUCCUUUCUCCAUGAGCCCCAAGCCAAUCAACAUACAUAUGUGAAACCGUAUGUGAAACCCCCAUCCAACGGGCACCCCCAAUAGGAUGACCCAAUGAACAGACAGUGACACCUCAGAAACCCAGGACACUUCCUGAGAGCCAGAGUCCCGCUAGGACACUCCACUGGUCUCCUCUUGGACCAGACGCUUUCUCUGUCGUCUGCCAAUCAAAUAAAAGUUCCUUUUUUGUCUAAUAAAAGUUUCUGCUGCUUUUCAAACUGUUUCCUGGCUUUUUUAUCUAUACUUAGCUGAGGACAAGCACCCACAAGACUCUUUCCGGCAACAGCCCUC